UAAAAUUUGAUAUGCAUGGAAGUGUCACA
rnacentral:piRNA from 1 species